rnacentral:pre_miRNA from 1 species
UAUUUAUGAUGGUGAUGAUGAUAGUAAGGAUAAUGAUGAUGAUGAUAAUGAUGAUCACCAUCAUCAUCAUUAUCACCAUCAUCAUCAUCAUCAUCA